rnacentral:rRNA from 1 species
UACGGGGGGGGCAAGCGUUGUUCGGAAUUACUGGGCGUAAAGGGCUCGUAGGUGGCCAACUAAGUCAGACGUGAAAUCCCUCGGCUUAACCGGGGAACUGCGUCUGAUACUGGAUGGCUUGAGUUUGGGAGAGGGAUGCGGAAUUCCAGGUGUAGCGGUGAAAUGCGUAGAUAUCUGGAGGAACACCGGUGGCGAAGGCGGCAUCCUGGACCAACACUGACACUGAGAGACGAAAGCUAGGGGAGCGAAUGGG